AUGGUGAUUAGACAUGGCCAGUUGGCCACAUGGGCGGAUACACUGCGUUUCUGGUUCUUAGAUUCUAGAGUAGAUAUUCUCACUGGGAAUAGAUGCACAGAUUUUGGCUAUGAUUGUUCUGUCAGAUAUUCAUGUUCACAAGUCAAUGCUAUUUGUGGAUUCCUUUCCUUUUGUAGUUAUUACUGUGAAUUUGAGAAGUUUAUGCAAGCCUUUUGUACACUUGCCCAAACUGUUCAGUUGUGUUCUACUAUUUUCAAAGUAGAAAUUAAUGGAUGUUUAAUUAUAUGCUUAGAUUGUCAAUGCAUAAGAAACCAAUGCUGCGCAAUCUGUGUAUUUGCAGGAACAUUAUUUAUAAUCUAG
rnacentral:rRNA from 1 species